rnacentral:rRNA from 1 species
AGCGAACGCUGGCGGCAGGCUUAACACAUGCAAGUCGAGCGCCCCGCCAGGGGAGCGGCAGACGGGAGAGUAACACGUGGGAACAUACCUUUUGGUUCGGAACAACUGAGGGAAACUUCAGCUAAUACCGGAUAAGCCCUUACGGGGAAAGAUUUAUCGCCGAAAGAUUGGCCCGCGUCUGAUUAGCUAGUUGGUGAGGUAACGGCUCACCAAGGCGACGAUCAGUAGCUGGGCUGAGAGGAUGAUCAGCCUCACUGGGACUGAGACACGGCCCAGACUCCUACGGGAGGCAGCAGUGGGGAAUAUUGGACAAUGGGGGCAACCCUGAUCCAGCCAUGCCGCGUGAGUGAUGAAGGCCUUAGGGUUGUAAAGCUCUUUUGCCCGGGAAGAUAAUGACGGUACCGGGAGAAUAAGCCCCGGCUAACUUCGUG